GACGAACGCUGGCGGCGUGCUUAACACAUGCAAGUCGAGCGGAAAGGCCCUUCGGGGUACUCGAGCGGCGAACGGGUGAGUAACACGUGAGCAACCUGCCCCUGACUCUGGGAUAAGCCCGGGAAACUGGGUCUAAUACCGGAUACGACCUGUGGUGGCAUCAUCGUGGGUGGAAAGUUUUUCGGUUGGGGAUGGGCUCGCGGCCUAUCAGCUUGUUGGUGGGGUAGUGGCCUACCAAGGCGACGACGGGUAGCCGGCCUGAGAGGGCGACCGGCCACACUGGGACUGAGACACGGCCCAGACUCCUACGGGAGGCAGCAGUGGGGAAUAUUGCACAAUGGGGGAAACCCUGAUGCAGCGACGCCGCGUGCGGGAUGACGGCCUUCGGGUUGUAAACCGCUUUCAGCAGGGACGAAUCUGACGGUACCUGCAGAAGAAGCGCCGGCUAACUACGUGCCAGCAGCCGCCGUAACAC
rnacentral:rRNA from 1 species